AUUUAAAAAUUUAUUAAUUUUAAUAAUUUAUUUGUUUGUUAACUAAAGAAAUAUUUAAUUUAUUAAAUUUUUGAAAAAUUAAUUUUUAUUAUAGUGAAUUAGUAUUGAAAAAUAAUAUUUUAAAAUAAUUAAAAGAAAAAUUAUUUUGUACCUUGUGUAUCAGGGUUUAUUAAAAAUAAAUUAAAAAUUUAAUUAUCUCGAAUUUAAAAGAUUUAAUUAUUUAUAAAUUUUAUUGUAAAAUAAAUAUUUAAAAUAAAUAAUUGGUAAUGAAACGUUAAUCGUUUUUAAAUAUAUCUAGUUUUUUAAGAAAAAAGUUUAAUUUUUUUAAUAAUUUUAAAAUUUAUUAUUUUUUAUAAAUUUUAAAUUAUUAAUUUAUAUAUUAAGGGAUAAGCUUUAAUAUAAAUUUUUAUAAUUAUUUAUAUAUUUUAAAUUUUAUAGGAUUAAAAAUUUCUUUUUUAAGUUUUUAAUAAUUUAAUUUAUUUUAAUUAAGAUUUUUAUUAAAUUUAAUUUUUUUAUUAAAAUAUAUUAUUUAAUUUUUUAAUAAUAGAAAUAAUGAUAAAAUUAGUAUAAUUUUUUGUAAAAGUUAUUUAAGUUGUAAUAUAAAUUAUAAGAAUUCGGCAAAAUUAUUUUUCAAAUGUUUAGUAAAAACAUUUCCUUUUGAAUAUAAUUUAAGGUAGGACCUGCCCACUGAAAAUUUUGAAGGGCCGCAGUAUUUUGACUGUGCAAAGGUAGCAUAAUCAUUAGUUUUUUAAUUGAAAGCUGGAAUGAAUGGUUUAAUGAGAAAAUAACUUUUUUUAAUUUAAUAAUUUAAAAUUUUAUUUUUAAGUUAAAAAGCUUAAAUAUAUUUAUAAGACGAGAAGACCCUAUAGAGUUUUAUUUUUAUUUUAUUAAAAAUUUUUAGUAUUUAAUAAUUUUAUUAAAAUAAAAAUUUGAUUGGGGUGAUUAAAAAAUUAAAUUAACUUUUUUUUUAUAUAUACAUUGAUUUAUGAAUUUUUGAUCCAAUUAUUUUGAUUAUAAGAUUAAAUUACCUUAGGGAUAACAGCGUAAUUUUUUUUUAAAGUUCAAAUUAAAAAAAAAGUUUGCGACCUCGAUGUUGGAUUAAAAUUUAUUAUUGGUGUAGAAGCUAAUAUAUUAGAUCUGUUCGAUCUUUAAAAUUUUACAUGAUCUGAGUUUAGACCGGUGUGAGCCAGGUCGGUUUCUAUCUUUAAAUAAUUAUUAUAUUUUAGUACGAAAGGACCAAAUAUAAAUUUUAUAAAUUUAAUUUUGAAUAUAAUU
rnacentral:rRNA from 1 species